CCCAGACUCCUACGGGAGGCAGCAGUGGGGGAUAUUGCACAAUGGGGGGAACCCUGAUGCAGCGACGCCGCGUGGGUGAAGGAGCGUUUCGGCGCGUAAAGCCCUAUCGGCAGGGAAGAAGGAGGACGGUACCUGACUAAGAAGCCCCGGCUAACUACGUGCCAGCAGCCGCGGUAAUACGUAGGGGGCAAGCGUUAUCCGGAUUUACUGGGUGUAAAGGGGGCGCAGACGGCAGCGCAAGCCAGGAGUGAAAGCCCGGGGCCCACCCCCGGGACUGCUCUUGGAACUGCGCGGCUGGAGUGCAGGAGGGGCAGGCGGAAUUCCUGGUGUAGCGGUGAAAUGCGUAGAUAUCAGGAGGAACACCGGUGGCGAAGGCGGCCUGCUGGACUGCGACUGACGUUGAGGCCCGAAAGCGUGGGGAGCAAACAGGAUUAGAUACCCUGGUAU
rnacentral:rRNA from 1 species